rnacentral:snRNA from 1 species
ACCGCUUCUCGGCCUUUUGGCUAAGAUCAAAGUGUAGUAUGAUUUUGUUAUAGUAAGAUGUAUUAUUAUUUUUUCUUGUCUUUAUAAAACGGAAUACAU